AUUGAACGCUGGCGGAAUGCUUUACACAUGCAAGUCGAGCGGCAGCGCGGGGGCAACCCUGGCGGCGAGCGGCGAACGGGUGAGUAACAUAUCGGAACGUACCCAGUCGUGGGGGAUAACUAUCCGAAAGGAUAGCUAAUACCGCAUACGUCCUGAGGGAGAAAGCGGGGGAUCGCAAGACCUCGCGCGAUUGGAGCGGCCGAUAUCGGAUUAGCUAGUUGGUGGGGUAAAGGCUCACCAAGGCGACGAUCCGUAGCGGGUCUGAGAGGACGACCCGCCACACUGGAACUGAGACACGGUCCAGACUCCUACGGGAGGCAGCAGUGGGGAAUUUUGGACAAUGGGGGCAGCCCUGAUCCAGCCAUUCCGCGUGAGUGAAGAAGGCCUUCGGUUGU
rnacentral:rRNA from 1 species